GUUUCCCGCCCAAAAGAAGAAGCCCUUCCUUUGUUCCAGACACGCCUUACCCAGACACUGUAUCGGGUGUUCCUAACACCACUGCAGAGCAGCUAACGGCAAGCAAAGACUUGGAGUCCUUGCAUCGGUCGUCGUCUAGUACACCAACGCCCUACCAGCCACCAAGUGUCUCCAUUGAGAGGGAACAAAAGGAUUCCCCUUUACAAAAGGCACCUGAAGAGUCCUUGCAUUGGUCGUCGUCUAGUACACCAACGCCCUACCAGCCACCAAGUGUCACCAUUGAGAGGGAACAAAAGACAUCUGAUGAGACAAUCCAUGCCAUAGAAGUAGGCGAAGUAUCCGAAGACACCGGACUAACAGCGACAGCCCCUACAUCACGCCAAACAAAUCGUGAAGCUACAGGCGAAGGGUCUGAAGACACAGAGCUAACAGCACCC